ensembl:rRNA 5S_rRNA 5S ribosomal RNA
GCCUAUGAGCAUACCACUCAUAUGUGAGAACACCAAUCUUGUCUGAUCUCAGGAACUAAUCAAGGUUUGGCCUGGUUAGUACUUGGAUGGGAAACUGCCUGGGAAUACCAGGCAUUUUAGGCU